rnacentral:misc_RNA from 1 species
GGAAGUAAAAGUCGUACAAGGUUUCCGUAGGUGAACCUGCGGAAGGAUCAUUAUUGUAUAACCGAGGUGCGAGGGCUGUCGCUGACCCGAAAGGUCGUGCACGCCCGAGUGCCCUCACACACAUCCAUCUCACCCCUAUGUGCACCACCGCGUGGGUCCCCCUUUGGCUUGUUCGGAGGGGGGCUUACGUUUUCACACAAACUUUGUAUGCAGUGUAGAAUGUAUUUUUUGUUUUUGCGAUCACGCAAUCAAUACAACUUUCAACAAUGGAUCUCUUGGCUCUC